GCCCCUAUAGCUCAGUUGGUAGAGCAGGAGACUUUUAAUCUUCGGGUCCAAGGUUCGAGUCCUUGUGGGGGCACGA
rnacentral:tRNA from 1 species